GUAUUUCCGCGGGCGCUGAGCACUAGAGAGAGCGUCUUGUGGCUGCGGCCUGCCCCUCAGCCUCCUCCGCGCGGUUACCCCUGUACCCGCCGCCAUCCGUCCUGGCGCUCCGGAUGAGUCAAUGAGGGGCAGGGCCCGAGGAGUGGUCUUCCCAAGAACCCCUGGUGGCCUCCCAAGGCCGGUGCUGUGUACCUCCUCCCCGACAAAAGGGGAAACUGAGGCCCCGAGGGGAGUGGGAAGAGCCGGCUGGACGUCAGGCCCAGCCGCUGGUGCAGUGGUCCGUCCCCUCUGCCGGGGUGGGCCCCUCGGGUUUCGCGUGUCCUCGGGAAAGAGACUGGCGGGUGAGCCGCGCCCUCGGCCUUCGCUGGGCUAAGCCGACCCCAUGCAGACGUCAAACCCCCCUAGGUCGGCACAGCCUCUCUGCGGGGAGGCUUAGUGCCCCCUUGAGAAACGGCUUGGCAACGCUGUGCCCGGGGCCUUGCACGCGGGCUGAGGGGGCUAGAGACCUCGCGACUUUUACUCCCCCGACCCCGAUCUCCGACUCCUGACUUUGGAAGCCCCCAAAGCUGCUUUUCGGUUGCCUACAAAGUGUCGGUCAUUGUGCCACGUCCUUGGAACCGUGAACUCAUUUUCUCCUCAAUAACCUUUAAAAAGUAGCUGUAAAACCUCCAUUUUACAGACCAGUUGGCUGAGGUUUAAAUGGAGGACGCUCCCAGGGCCCCAGAGGGGCGAAUUCCAGACUCCUUUGCCAGGACCUUGUACUAAGCCCCUUCCCUACGCUUUUCCCUGCCUAGGCCUCGUGGGCUGUGCGGCUAUCCUGGAGACAGAUGACAGCUCUCCCUUGGAUGGCUUUGCUGGUUCCGCACCAGCCAGCGCCCCCAUUUUUCCUGCAGCACCCUGAUCUGCACUCCCUGAGGGGCUCCCACUGUCCGCGGUGUGAGGAUGUCCCUGGAUAGUCCACUGUGUGCAGAGGCAUGGGAGUUGUCAUGUUGGGAACAUGCUAGACCUCAGUAUCCUUGAGCUUGAAGAAAGACGACAGAACACUGGAGACCAAGUACUUACAGCCUUCUGCUCUGUGGCCCCUCCUCACUCCAGGGAUGCUGCCUUGGGUCUGGAAACUGUUAGAGGAAACCCCAAGAGGUGCAGGCACUGAGCCUCUCAGGACAAUGACCUGGGGUCCCAGCUCCCCUGGAGGGGCCUCCUCAUGAUUGUUUGGGGGUUGAUCACAGACCAAGAGUGACGAGUGAUGUCACCCUGUGACUCAUGGCUGGACCUUCUUGCCCCUAUUGUCUCAGCACAACAUUAUUCGACUUUUCCCUCAGCGUGGGUGGGCAGAGGAAAAGCCCUGUGGCUCUGGGGACUUGGGAUCCAGAGUUGAAGACCCUUCAGCUGGCUCUGCCCUGCCAGUGCCACAGAGUGCCAUGGCCCAGGAAGACAGGUUUUCUUCCAUCUAGGCCAGGCCAUCCAGUGGCCAUCCUCCGUGUCCUCCCGCCUCCUCCUGGUGUGACUUCUGAAAACCAAGAAUUUGUUCCUGUUGACUUUUUCUGUGCUAUGGACCAUUGUCCUCUCACCCACUCAAUAAAUCUUGAAACAUGCC
rnacentral:lncRNA from 1 species